UAUCACUAGACAUAGUUAAAGAGUACUCAGUACUCUCUUGUAUCUUUGCCGCCUUGUGUGAUGUUUCUUUUGAGGUGGAAUCGGCACUUUGCAAUCUUCAAGCUCCAUCCUUGGUUGUUGUUAGAAUGACUCUGUGUAUCUUCUUCCUUAGCCUCCGGUGAGUCCAUUCUUUUCAUUUCCUUCUCGCCAUGUUUGUUGUCUCCAGGUGGUGGAUUGAAAUUGAAGCUGACGGUGGUGGUGGGACGCCAAACAACCCCUCUUUUUGAUGAAGCUUUUUGGUAGCUAGGGGAGCUAGCUAGGUGGCAGGGACAUUAGUCAACUCAAAAGAUAUCACUAGGAACUCCUCAUGACCAUAACAAGUCCUAAAUGCAGUCUUAGGUUUGUCUGUUUCCCUAAUCCUCAGUUGAUGGUAACCGAAUAUCAAAUCAAUCUUAAAAAACACUACGACACCUUGAAGUUAGUCAAAUAGAUCAUCAUUAUGAGACAUAUGGUAAGGGUAUAUAUAUUUUCUUAUUAAAUGUAUUUUGGAUUAAAUUGUAUACUUUGAUUGUGUUGUAAGAUUUACUUGUGUUAAUUUGUAGACCAUGAAUUAAAGUGACAUUUUCUUUCAA